ACAGGGAUUGCCCCAGUAACGGCGAGUGAAGCGGCAACAGCUCAAAUUUGAAAUCUGGCCCCCCGGCCCGAGUUGUAAUUUGCAGAGGAUGCUUUUGGUGAGGCACCUACCGAGUCCCCUGGAAUGGGGCGCCAUAGAGGGUGAGAGCCCCGUAUGGUAGGACGCCGAACCUCUGUAAAGCUCCUUCGACGAGUCGAGUAGUUUGGGAAUGCUGCUCUAAAUGGGAGGUAAAUUUCUUCUAAAGCUAAAUACCGGCCAGAGACCGAUAGCGCACAAGUAGAGUGAUCGAAAGAUGAAAAGCACUUUGAAAAGAGGGUUAAAAAGUACGUGAAAUUGUUGAAAGGGAAGCGCUUGUGACCAGACUUGCGCCGGGCGGAUCAUCCAGCGUUCUCGCUGGUGCACUCCGCCCGGUUCAGGCCAGCAUCGGUUUUCGCCGGGGGACAAAGGCUUCGGGAACGUGGCUCCUUUCGGGGAGUGUUAUAGCCCGUUGCGUAAUACCCCGGCGGGGACCGACGACCGCGCUUCGGCAAGGAUGCUGGCGUAAUGGUCAUCAGCGACCCGUCUUGAAACACGGACCGAGGAGUCAAGCAUUAGUGCGAGUGUUUGGGUGUAAAACCCGCACGCGUAAUGAAAGUGAACGUAGGUGAGAGCUUCGGCGCAUCAUCGACCGAUCCUGAUGUUUUCGGAAGGAUUUGAGUAGGAGCAUUAACGCUUGGACCCGAAAGAUGGUGAACUAUACUUGAAUAGGGUGAAGCCAGAGGAAACUCUGGUGGAGGCUCGCAGCGGUUCUGACGUGCAAAUCGAUCGUCAAAUUUGAGUAUAGGG
rnacentral:rRNA from 1 species